CCUACGGGGUGCAGCAGUGGGGAAUAUUGGACAAUGGGCGAAAGCCUGAUCCAGCCAUGCCGCGUGUGUGAAGAAGGCCUUCGGGUUGUAAAGCACUUUCAGUGGGGAAGAAAGCCUUGGGGCUAAUACCCUCGAGGAAGGACAUCACCCACAGAAGAAGCACCGGCUAACUCCGUGCCAGCAGCCGCGGUAAUACGGAGGGUGCGAGCGUUAAUCGGAAUUACGGGGCGUAAAGCGCGCGUAGGCGGUCUGAUAAGCCGGUUGUGAAAGCCCCGGGCUCAACCUGGGAACGGCAUCCGGAACUGUCAGGCUAGAGUGCAGGAGAGGAAGGUAGAAUUCCCGGUGUAGCGGUGAAAUGCGUAGAGAUCGGGAGGAAUACCAGUGGCGAAGGCGGCCUUCUGGACUGACACUGACGCUGAGGUGCGAAAGCGUGGGUAGCAAACAGGAUUAGAUACCCCAGUAGUC
rnacentral:rRNA from 1 species